AAAUGUAUGCAUAUCCAAACAAGAUAGCAAGGGCUCCGAAUGGUGAGACAGAGAGGGUAUCCAUGGAAAGAUUAACCAUUCCAGUUAGCACGUUAGCCAGAAGAAAAGAGCCCAGUAGAUUUCGGUCGAAAUAUUCUAUCAAUGCGGCAACUUUGUAUCCAGGUACAUAAUCAGCUAGAGUUAAAACUGCAAAAACCUGAAGGUUCAUAGCCAAUACUACAGUAACAUAAGCCAGGUUGCACAUUCUGCGAGAAACCCUCUCAACAUGCCUA
rnacentral:misc_RNA from 1 species